GUCAUAGCGACUUUUGGGAUAGUUUGCUAUGGACAAAGGGGGACAAAGUUAAGGGGUGAGGGGGGAAGGAGGGCCCAGUAGAGCCUCCACGACCCUCGGCUUUCUCCUCACCAGCUUCCCCUCCCCCCAAGUCCUGUAAGAAGUUGGGCCAAGCUGGAAGGGAUUGAACGGCCGCCUCCUCUCCCUCGCCGGCCUCUGCGGAGAUUCCAGGCCCUCCAGAGACCAGGACGUCCCUCAGAGCCACCGCCCCUCGUGCCAAUGCUGCCGGGAAACUGCCGAUACCCAAACCGGGCAAGAGAACCGCGCGAGGGCAACUGGGGGAGGCCGGAACGAGGGAGGAAUGGGGGGAGGGGGAGGGGGCGCAAACCCACAGGGGCCGUAACAACCGGCUUCUGCCGGCGCCCUGACACCUAGACACCCCCAUCCUCUUUAGCAACCCCCUCGCUUGAGCCUCUCCUCCCAGCUUAAAAAGGCGACUUAGAGCUCGCCUCCGUGGCCCCUUUCGGUUCCUCCUCCCAUUUUUCUUGCCUUGGCUCCCCCUCCAGGAAGCAGCCACCCUUCUCUCAGCCACCGAAUUUCCUGGGAAGCCUCUCCCUGCAGCACCCAGAGGUGGGGUUCAGCCCCGUCUUGGACUGGGGGAGGAGGAAGACAAACCCAAGCCCCACCCCCUACAAAAUCGAGGCGAAAGAAUGAGAAUUGUAGAAUCUCCCUUACCUUUGCAGAUCUUAAGGUUUCUUUCCUCCGAUUGAAAGGGGUGGGGAGGAAGGGGGGAAAAAAAAAGAGCGUUCGGUUUCUUCUUCAUCCUCCAGAUAAUAUUGUCCCAACCUGAGAGCCGUCGCUUCCCCUUCUCUGACUUGGAAGAGAGGGUGUUUCGCUUUUCUGAUAUUUGCAUAGAAAAUGGAGUAAGUUCUGGCUUUGAAAAAUGGUAUCAGGCUGCGAUCCUGGGCAGAUUGUCCAUUUACCCUUCAUGAUGACUAAAACCUCAGAUCAGCAAGCAAAUUAACUUAGGAAUUAAAAUUAUUUUUGGUUCUCCCUUUUGUGUAAUUCCCACCCCUCCUUCCCCCUCUCUUCUUUCCUCUCUCCCUCUCUUCCUCUCUCUCUUUUGCUUUAUCGAGCUGAUACUGAAGUAUAAAAAUAUCAAGAGGCUGGAGCCCUAAAGGACGACAGUGCUCCGACCUAGGUGUGGUGUCCAAAAGAAUGCUGCAUUAUAACCACCAGGGAAAUGAUAAAAAGUUCAUGUUCACGAUCGCCCGGCCACAUGACCGGCGCCGGCCAAUCGCUGGAUUCAACCACUCAUAAACUUCUAUCACAAAGUUGUAAAUUUUCAUAAAACAACAAGGAAUUUAUUGCAUUUCUUCAUGGCUGCUCCACCAGCAACCCUUUUCUCAGUCGCCAUCUUCUUUUCUUCUCCUUCUCGCUUUUUGGGGAAACCUCAAUCUGAGAAGUGGUGAGAUUUCGGGUGCAGGAAAUCAGGCGCAGGAGCCACAAGGGUUCAGCUAGGAAAGGGGGUUCUUUUGCGAACCUCCCUAUUCUCACUGGCGCUCUGUCCCUUCUUCUAGUAAAAAUUCACACUAAACCCUCCGCACUAGUACCAUUCUAAGCCAAUUUGGGGGUGAGUCGGCAGCAGCAGCUGGUGUCCAGAGUUGCCACUUGCAUCAAGACAAAAUGAAAGCUUCAGUGCUCCCUCUUUUCCUCUGAACUCCCCCCCUAUUCCCA